rnacentral:rRNA from 1 species
UACGUAGGGGGCGAGCGUUGUCCGGAAUUACUGGGCGUAAAGAGCUCGUAGGUGGUUUGUCGCGUUGUUCGUGAAAACUCACAGCUUAACUGUGGGCGUGCGGGCGAUACGGGCAGGCUGGAGUACUGCAGGGGAGACUGGAAUUCCUGGUGUAGCGGUGGAAUGCGCAGAUAUCAGGAGGAACACCGGUGGCGAAGGCGGGUCUCUGGGCAUUAACUGACGCUGAGGCGCGAAAGCGUGGGGAGCGAACAGG